rnacentral:rRNA from 1 species
ACGUAGGUGGCAAGCGUUGUCCGGAUUUAUUGGGCGUAAAGCGAGCGCAGGCGGUCUUUUAAGUCUGAUGUGAAAGCCCCCGGCUUAACCGGGGAGGGUCAUUGGAAACUGGGAGACUUGAGUGCAGAAGAGGAAAGCGGAAUUCCAUGUGUAGCGGUGAAAUGCGUAGAUAUAUGGAGGAACACCAGUGGCGAAGGCGGCUUUCUGGUCUGUAACUGACGCUGAGGCUCGAAAGCGUGGGGAGCAAACAGGAUUAGAUACCCUGGUAGUCCACGCCGUAAACGGUGAGUGCUAAGUGUUGGAGGGUUUCCGCCCUUCAGUGCUGCAGCAAACGCAUUAAGCACUCCGCCUGGGGAGUACGACCGCAAGGUUG